rnacentral:rRNA from 1 species
AGAGUUUGAUCAUGGCUCAGAACGAACGCUGGCGGCGUGGAUCAGGCAUGCAAGUCGCACGAGAAAGUCCUUCGGGGCGAGUAAAGUGGCAAAAGGGGUAGUAACGAAUAGGUAACGUGCCCAUCGAUCUGGGAUAACUGUUAGAAAUGACAGCUAAUACCGGAUACGUCGGGGGAGGCAAAGUCUUCCUCGGGAAAACAGGGGAUCUUCGGACCUUGUGUCGAUGGAGCGGCCUAUUUAUCAUUAGGUAGUUGGAGAGGUAAUGGCUCACCAAGCCCAAGAUGAUUAGGGGACCUUAGCGGGUGACCCCCACCACCGGAACUGAGACACUGUCCGGACACCUACGGGUGGCUGCAGUCGAGAAUCUUCCGCAAUGGUCGAAAGACUGACGGAGCGACGCCGCGUGAGGGACGAAGGCCCUAGGGUCGUAAACCUCUGCCAGAUGUUAAGAAUAAACGUGCUCUAACAGAGUACGCGAUGACGUAAGCAUCAGAGGAAGUCACGGCUAAAUACGUGCCAGCAGCCGCGGUAAUACGUAUGUGGCGAGCGUUGUUCGGAAUUACUGGGCAUAAAGAGUUCGUAGGCGGAUUUGUAAGUUGGGUGUGAAAUCCCGGGGCCUACCCCCGGAACUGCAUUCAAGACUGUAAAUCUGGAGUCCUUCAGGGGUAAGUGGAAUUCCAUGUGUAGCGGUGAAAUGCGUAGAUAUAUGGGAGAACGCCAAUGGCGAAGGC